rnacentral:ncRNA from 1 species
GAUGAAUUUGAUUCUAGUUCAUUAUAUAUAUUUAAAUCAAAAGAAUUAUAUACAAUUUUGUUAAUCUCUUUAUUAUAGUUAAUGAAAUUAAUUAUUAACGUAAGUUAGAAUUUGUUAUGAGCUAAGUAUUGGUAAAAAUAUGUGCCAGCAACUGCGGUUAUACUAUUGAUACAAAUAUAUAAAUUUUUAUAAUUUUAGAUUUUAUAAUUUAAGAAGUUUAAAAAAGUUUUUUUGGUGAAAUAAUAAAAAAUAUUAGAGUUCAUAUUUAAAUCUUUAAAAAUUUUUAACAAAAACUAGGAUUAGAUACCCUAUUAUUAAAUAUUUAUGAAUUAGGUAGUAAAGACUUUACUGAAACCUAAAGAAUUUGGCGGUGUUUUAACUACUUGGAGGAACCUGUUAUUUAAAUGAUAAUCCACAGCAUAUCUUUCCUAAAUUUUGUUUGUAUAUCGUUGUUUAGAUAAUAUUUUAAAAUUAUUAUCAAUUUUAGUUUUACUACAAAAAUCAAAUCAGGGUGCAGCAUAUUUGGGUUAUAAUGGGUUACAAUAUAAUUUAUGUAAAUUAUGAAUGUAAAAUGAAAACAUUAUUGAAAGUGGAUUCAAAAGUAAAAUAAAAUUAAAAAGUUUGUUUGAUUAAAAAUUUAAAACAUGCACAUAUCGCCCGUCACUCUUUCUAUUUUAAAGAAAGAUAAGUCGUAACAUAGUAGAUUUACUGGAAAGUGAAUCUAGAUUGAA